CCUACGGGAGGCAGCAGUAGGGAAUUUUCGUCAAUGGGCGCAAGCCUGAACGAGCAAUGCCGCGUGAACGAGGAAGGUCUUCGGAUCGUAAAGUUCUGUUGAAGGGGAAAAAGAGCGGAGAGAGGAAAUGGUCUCCGAUUGAUAUUACCCUUCGAGGAAGUCACGGCUAACUACGUGCCAGCAGCCGCGGUAAUACGUAGGUGGCGAGCGUUAUCCGGAAUGAUUGGGCGUAAAGGGUGCGUAGGCGGCCUGCUAAGUCUGGAGUGAAAGGUACCGGCUCAACCGGUACAGGCUCUGGAAACUGGCGGGCUAGAGAGCAGGAGAGGGCGUUGGAACUCCAUGGGUAGCGAUAAAAUGCGUAGAUAUAUGGAAGAACACCAGUGGCGAAGGCGGCCGCCUGGCCUGUUAACUGACGCUGAGGCACGAAAGCGUGGGGAGCAAAUAGGAUUAGAUACCCCUGUAGUC
rnacentral:rRNA from 1 species